UAUAAAGCUUGAACAGUAUCUUAAUGAGCAAGCUGAUCAACAACCGAGUUUGCUUCUCUAUAUCUCCAAUGAAACUGAACAACAGGAAUCUGUUUUUUUUUUUUUUUUUUUGGAUAAAAGUAAAAUUUAAUUAAUUAAAACUCAAAGGUACAAUUUGCCUGAUCAGCAUGAGCUUUAAAAGAGCGUCGUCAGGUUCCCAGAGGUACAAACACCUCUUUACAUCGACUGUCGACGUCCUAAAUUCACACCCUUACAUGAGAUGACUACACACUAUAAGAGGAUCCAUACAGAGCAAUCCAUAAAACAGCCUGCAGCCCACCAUACCUGUCAGAACCAUACUUUAUCAUUAACCUGCAUAACUGGACUGCAAGAAAGACCGGUAUCAGACUCCCAAAGCUUCACCGUUGUUCGGCCAUAAGCCUUUCCAGUCCAGCAACAGAUCUCUGAACGAAAUUUCCUGCCUGCACUCCAGACUCUU
rnacentral:lncRNA from 1 species